rnacentral:rRNA from 1 species
AUUGAACGCUGGCGGCAUGCCUAACACAUGCAAGUCGAACGGUAACGCGGAGAGCUUGCUCUCUGGCGACGAGUGGCGGACGGGUGAGUAAUACUUGGGAAUCUGCCCAGUAGUGGGGGACAACAUUCGGAAACGGAUGCUAAUACCGCAUACGCACUACGGUGGAAAGUGGGGGAUCUUCGGACCUCACGCUAUUGGAUGAGCCCAAGUCGGAUUAGCUUGUAGGUAGGGUAACGGCCUACCUAGGCAACGAUCCGUAGCUGGUCUGAGAGGACGAUCAGCCACACUGGGACUGAGACACGGCCCAGACUCCUACGGGAGGCAGCAGUGGGGAAUAUUGGACAAUGGGCGCAAGCCUGAUCCAGCAAUGCCGCGUGUGUGAAGAAGGCCUGCGGGUUGUAAAGCACUUUCAGUAGAGAAGAAAAGCCUAGGGUUAAUACCCCUGAGUCUUGACGUAACCUACAGAAGAAGCACCGGCUAACUCCGUG